rnacentral:rRNA from 1 species
UGAGGAAUAUUGGGCAAUGCCCGCAAGGGUGACCCAGCAACGCCGCGUGGAGGAUGAAUGUCGUAAGAUUGUAAACUCCUGUUAGAGGGGAAGAAUAGUACCGGUUGGACCGGUAUAUGACUGUACCCUCAGAGAAAGCCCCGGCUAACUACGUGCCAGCAGCCGCGGUAAUACGUAGGGGGCAAGCGUUGUCCGGAUUUACUGGGGGUAAAGGGCGCGCAGGCGGGAUAAAAAGUCAGUGGUGAAAUCCUACAGCUUAACUGUAGAACUGCCUUUGAUACUGUUAGUCUUGAGUUCGGGAGAGAGAGACGGAAUUCCAGGUGUAGUGGUGAAAUACGUGGAUAUCUGGAAGAACACCAGUUGCGAAGGCGGUCUCUUGGUCCGACACUUACGCUGAGGCGCGAAAGCGUGGGGAGCAAACA